rnacentral:rRNA from 1 species
AGAAUCAACGCUGGCGGCGUGCCUCAGACAUGCAAGUCGAACGCGAAAGUCCCCUUCGGGGGACAAGUAGAGUGGCGCACGGGUGAGUAACACGUAGGUAAUCUACCUUUGGAUGGGGAAUAACAAUCGGAAACGGUUGCUAAUACCGCAUAAUGCAGCGGCACCUAAUGGUGACAGUUGUUAAAGCGGGGGAUCGAGAGACCUCGCGUCUAAAGAGGAGCCUGCGGCGGAUUAGCUAGUUGGUAAGGUAACGGCUUACCAAGGCUACGAUCCGUA